CUUUUGCACUAAAAAGGACUUUUAAUUCAACAUCGAGGUCACAAACUCACUUGUCAAUUAGAACUUUCUAAAUAAAUUAAGCUGUUAUCCCUAAAGUAACUUAUUCUUCUUUUAAAAAUUUUAGAUACUAAAACUCAAGAUCUUUAAAUUUAAAAAAAGUUAAUUUCCCCACCGCCCCAGCAAAAUACCCAUUUCCUUCCUAAAAGAAAUAAAUAUAAAGUUUUAUAGGGUCUUCUCGUCUAUAAGAGUUAUUUUAGCCUUCUUACUAAAAAGUCAACUUCAUCUUUUUACCCCAAAAAAAUCUAUUCCAGUUUCCCCGUAAUCCCAG
rnacentral:rRNA from 1 species